CUUUAACUAAAGAUGCUGCUGUUAAUUAUUUUAUUGUUCAUAGUUCGAGUGGGAGCCUUCAAAGCUUUUUAACAGAGUGUUUCUGUCUCCCUUAUAUUUUCUGCUCUGUUGCAAAAGGAGCAGACAGGACCCAGGAGCAAUGUUCAGCGAUCUGGAGCAUCCAGCAAUUCCCAGGACCAGCAAUGUUGCUUGAUACUGGCUCUGGUACAGAGAUCCUCAGUGAGGUGGUGCGAGGAUGCCUGUUGUGUCCUGGUUGCUCGCAUGCAGGGAGAACUCAGAUCCUCCUGCUUCUGCUGAGACGGUACCUGUGGGCCAGACAAGACACCCAAUAGGUGCCAAGACCACAGAUGAGGUCUGUGCUGCAACAGAGCAUCAGCUGUUGGCAGGAGAGUUCAUGCCAGCUCCGUGGUCCCAGAUGGUGAUACAAGUUUUGUAUUACAGGGUGUACGGGCUGUACAGACUGCCCAUCCCCCAAAGUCCCUUUGCACUGCCAUCACCUGCACGAGAAUGAGACCCCGCAAGCAGAAGGACGGAUGAUUAGUAGCUGUACCUGAAAGCUGCAGGGAGGAGAACCCCGACGCUGCACC
rnacentral:lncRNA from 1 species